UUCUGCUUUAAAAGGCUCACCCACUUUCUGCAAUUCUUGUAAAUAAAUUAAUCAUAUACUUUUCAAAAAUUAUGCUUAACUUUAUAUUCCUUCCUGCUUUUGAGGAUAAACUUUAGAUUCCAUGCAUGAAUUUAUGGACAUAUUAUACGCAUACAUAUCAAAUAUCAAAAGUACCGUUAUACUAAUGUGGAUAUCUUUGUGUGUACACAUUGGUGUUUCCUUCAAGUGAUGUAAUUCAUAUAAUUAUAAAAUGUUAUCUAUUAGACAUUUACCGACAAUUUGUAGUGUAUCAGUUCUUCUUUUGGACUAUAGAUGAAGUGGGAUAAGUAAAUAGAAAAGUUUUGCUGCAUCAUAACUGGUAUUAUUACUUUGAAUUGUUUUUUUAAAGAAGUUCAGAUGGUAGUGCAUGGAAUCAACACGUAUUACUUUGAAUUGUUUGCAAGUCACGUGUGUAUACUGGAGGUUGAAAUUUAAGAACCAUGGAUUUAGUCGAACUAUAUACCAAAUAUUAAAGCAAUAUAAAUUAAAGAUAUAAAUAUAUAUAUCAAACUAAAGAGACCUUUAGUUUUGGAAACAUGAAAUAAUAUGUAGCCAUGUAGGUGGACAAAUCUAUAUUAUAAUAGAAGAGUUUUUACUCUCUUCCGAAGCUAUCCACCUCAGCACUAUGUGGAUCCCGCUUAUAAAUCUAAACAUUAAAACAACAAAAGGGAAUUGUAUCGUCAACUUAACCUAUAUUUGCUCUUUCUCUCACGGCGUUGAUCCUCCCUUCUCUGUCCUCGAUCUGCUUCUCUCAUGGGGCCAUAGACACACACUGGUCCUUGGUCUCAACUUCACCAGCGCGCCUCCAUCUCCAGGGACAGAUCAAAGGAAACGUCAACAGUUCUGUGCUUAACUCGAGAAAUCUAAGAUCUGAUUACGAUUCUCCCCAUGCGGCUCCUGUUUCUGUGAAAGGAAGAAGGUACAUUGAUCUGAACAAUGAUAUUGACGAAGGAGAAGAUUCGAUUGGAAGAUGAAGGUGUGGCUAGGAUCAAUAGAAAGCUCUCUGAUGAUUUUCUUUUUCUGAAAAGGAAGUCUCUGAUGAUUUUGAUAGUCUUUGGAGAGAUGAAAACCAAAGCCAAUAAGAAAUCAGUUAAAUCUGAUUCGGUGAGGAAGAUAUUGAAGGAGAAGCAGAAGACUAAGGUUGAGGAAACAAGUCCAACGAGAACAUCUCCAAGAUUGUAUUUAUAACUCCUGGAGAUUUUCGACGAACAUAAAAAGUGAAGAGGAACACAAGAUUUGGGAUCAGUGGAGAAUUUUCAGAUCUUUGUAAGCGAUUAUUGAAUGAUUUUUACCAAGAUGAACUCAAAAUUUCGAUGCAGAGGCAUGCAUUGCAUAAGAUGAAUACUGCAGGAAACCGCAAGCAUAGUGACUGGCAGAAGACUUAUGAUCUGUUCAUAUUAAAAAGUCCAGGCAAUGGUUUAUAACGGUAUAUAUAGUCAUAACGGAACGGAGGUGGAAGCAGGAAUAAAAAACAUGGAAGAUGAUAUUGAACAAGAGAACUAAAUUACACCUAAAUGUUCAAGACAUUUUAUCGUGUAACCAAGUGACUAAUUGCAUAUGUACAAUUAACAAUGAGAACACAUUCUAUUUGAUAGCGCAUCAACUGUGAAAUCCCAUAACAUUGUUAAAUACUAUAGGAAAAAAAAAGAAAAAAUUAAUUUA